GUAUCAAUGGUUCAUUCCUUUUCAAUGCUGAAAAUAUCCCAUUGUGUGAGUAUACUACAUUUUAUCAGUUGGCAAUU